rnacentral:lncRNA from 1 species
AGAGGAAGGAAAAAAAGUCGUCAUUUUUAUGGGUUUUUUAUGAACACUUAGAACAUUUUAAAGGGUAGCGGUGGAGGAACGAGCUUCCUUUGAUGGCGAGAGCAGUGCUGAGGCUUGGUGCUGUCGGUGGUAACUGGUAACAGAUGAAGAAGAAAGAAUUUAAGCAAAGGAUAAAUAUGGAAAAAGUUAAAGAAUGAAGGUUAUUUUUGUCUUAACAUAGGUACAAUAAAACUGCACCACCGUGGGUCAUUUUCAAAACAACCCACGGUAGGCGCAAAUUCGAGAUUUUUUGCUGGGCAGUUGUAGACCUUAUAUUGAAAUUGAAUAGAAUAGAAGAAAAAAAGUGAAAUAGAACUUAUCCACACUGUAGGGCUUCAAGGAUAAGCUAUGCUACAAAUUAGACAAAUUCGAAUUGGCGAAUCAAACUACAAAACCAUGAUUACAUGAGUCAUUUAUGCGGAGAAGAGUCACUUCAUAUUACAUGUAUUAUUUUGAUGGUUCCAUCUUAGAAAGAAAAAAGAAGUGAAAUGAACCAUAAAGCAUAUAGCUUGGCAAAUAGGACAAACAUAUAAUUUUCCUUCUGCUGAAUUUGUGUUUAUUGCUGUAGUACUAAUACCAAAUACUAAAAUCUCAGUCCAUGAGAUCAGUGUUUGGUUUUUGGCUUCUUCACAAUCAUCACAGUGCAAUGAGCAUGAUGAGCACAAUAGUCACUUACACUCCCUAAAACCGCCCUGUAAAUAAAUGUAGAAAGUGUCAUAAAGCAAAACUUGCAGUUAAUUGAUAAAAAAAGGCUUAAAUACUCUGUAGGUCCCUGAAAUUGUACCCCGUAUCAAAAUAAGUCCCUGAAAAUUUUUUUUCCGAUUCCGGGUCCCUAGAAAAAUUUGUUUGAUCAAAAUAAGUCCCUACGCCGGAGAAGACAGUGGUUGCCUCCUCAUUGUU